UAUAUUGCUUGGAACCUUAAGAUAAAAAGUGUGAUGGGAGUGCUAGUUUGAGCCGUCCGCUUAUGUGCCCGACACCUGGAUCUGCCUCUGGGGCGAGUAAUAUUGUUUAUAUAAAGCUCAUCGUCUGACCCAUUGAAAGAAACCAAGAGAAUCCAUGGCGACUUUUUUCCAAGAAAUUAAGAACAAAUUUCUGGAUCUGAUUAAAUUCGUUAUUACCUGCGGUAAAGGAAAUGAUGAGCAUGAAAAACCAAAGUUAGAUAAUGAGGAGGGAAGAGAUGAAGAACAGAAAGGAGCUGUAUUUAGGCCAGAACAAAGAUCAAGAGGUCCAAG